UCCUGGGAUCUCUGUGGCUGCAGCAGAGUGGCUCUGCCUGGGAGCUAGAAGGGAGAGCAGGACCGCUGAGUUGUGCAUUUCAUUUCCUCCUGGUGACCGGGCGCUGGGUUCAGCCGUCUGGGUGGGACGUGGAGGAGCUGUAACCCAACCCUGCCAGCGUGAAGGAUUCUCUGCAGUGCUUUUUUCUCCUGUGAAGUCAAGUGAGUUGUAUAUUUUUGCUUUAAAAGCAAACAAAUGAUAAAACUUGGGCUCAGUGUAGCUCGAAAUGGAAACAUGGUCUCCUGACCUGACCCCUGUGAAGCAGUUUCACACGUGCAUCAGAUGUGCAGAAUGGUCUCUUGUGUGGGUGGAAACACUGAGAAACCCCCUGUGUGUCUGCAGCUUCUGAGCUUAGUUUCUAGUGAGGGACUGGGGAGGAGGCAGGAGCCACGUGGAGCCACAAUCAUUAAUUUGGGGUGAAUGGUAAGAAGGCAGGAAGAGAAACCGUCCUGACAGCACACACUUUCUGCUGGAAGUUACAAGGCAUUUUGUUUUCUUGGCUUUUUCAUGCUGAAUUUGUUGUUCAGAGAGAGUGUAGGCAGGAGAGCAGGCAGAUGUUGGUGUCAUAGGCGGACAGGCUACCCCAGCCACUGGUCCGUGCUGCCUGCUGCAGGCCUUGCCAGCUUCUGCUGGCUACAGGCCCCUGGCAUUCACAGAGGAAUUACAACAGCAAAACGGGUGGAGGAUCUGCAGAGGUGACCCCAUGCACCUUCUGCUGUCCCCAGGAGGUGCUGUGAGGGCAACGAGAGGAAAGGGCACGUCGAGAUGCUAAAACCAAUUUUGGCGCUCAGUUUCUGUCCAUCUAUCUCCCAUCUGCUGCUUCAGGAAAGCUCCAUCUCACAGUACCAUAGCUGAUCCAGAGAAGUUGGGUCCAGAGGAGGGCCAUGAAGAUGAUCAGAGGGCUGGAGCACCUCUCUUAUGAAGAAAGGUUGAGGGAACUGGGCUUGUUUAGCUUGGAGAAGAGAAGGCUCCGGGGAGACCUCAUUGUGGCCUUUUAGUAUUUGAAGGGAGUGUAUAAACAGGAGGGGGAAC
ensembl:lncRNA